CCAAUAGCGUAUAUUAAAGUUGUUGCAGUUAAAAAGCUCGUAGUUGAAUUUCGGGGUUCUACCGUUGGUCGGGCAAUAGUCUGUACUGGCGUGUAGCAUUUCUACCUUCUGGGGAACCAUCAUGUUAUUAAUUUAGCGUGGUGGGAAACCAGGACCUUUACCUUGAAAAAAUUAGAGUGUUCAAAGCAGGCUUACGUCUGAAUACAUUAGCAUGGAAUAAUAAAAUAGGACGGUGGUCCCGUUUUGUUGGUUUCUGAAUCACCGUAAUGAUUAAUAGGGAUAGUUGGGGGCAUUAGUAUUCAAUUGUCAGAGGUGAAAUUCUUGGAUUUAUUGAAGACUAACUUCUGCGAAAGCAUUUGCCAAGGAUGUUUUCAUUAAUCAAGAACGAAAGUUAGGGGAUCGAAGACGAUCAGAUACCGUCGUAGUCUUAACCAUAAACUAUGCCGACUAGGGAUCGGACGAUGUUAAUUUUUCUUGACUCGUUCGGCGCCUUACG
rnacentral:rRNA from 1 species